UUAAUAUUAACCUACUUACAAUUCAAACAAUAAUGACGUGACUUAGAAUUGAUUUAAUUAUUUUUGUUGUUAAUUUUUUUUAUAAUCUAACUAAUCGAUUCAUGAAUUAUUUUUCAUAGAAUCGAAAAGAUCGUUGACAGCUCAAUCCAUUACUCACUGAAAGGUCAUAUUGUACAAGAUUUAUAUUAUUACUAAAAGAAAGAAAUUUAGCCGAAAAAAAAGAAAAGAAGAACGGGAGCUCAAUAUAUCAGCAUAAUUGGGGAGUGUUGUUGUUAUGUCUCCUUACAUAUGUGAAGAUGUGAGAGGGUGAAGUGAGUCAGGAUGAUUUAAUGGAAUGAUAGAAAGCUUUUAAACAGAAGAGAUAUAAGAAAAGAAAUAAAUAUGAUAAGAAAAUGAUGAGAUGAGUGUAAAAGAAACGGAAUAUAAUAAAUAUAAAAAUAAAUAAAACUCGUAAAGAAGGGAAGAGGAAUGGAAUGAAGAAGUAUUUUUACUGAAAACACAAUAAUUGGAGGGUUUGACGUUUGUGUUGUAAUAUUAAAAAUCGGCCAUGACAAUGCCCACACGCAAACUCCUUUGACCCUAUAGGAAGAGAGAGAGAGAGAGAACGUAGGGAACAUGAAAUGGGAAAAAUCAGAGCCGCAAUGAGGCAUACGAAACCCUUUUUCUCUACUCACAUAAUUCUGUAAUAAUAAUAAUAAUAAAAUAGAAGUGGGUUGGCAAUAUUUUUCUUGUGGGAAUCUCAUCUUAAUAAAUAAUAAAUAAAUAUGAGGAGCAUCGUGAAGUUAAGUUUAGUUUCCUACAGCUUCCGUUUUGUAAUUAUUUAUUUUUGAGGCGGAGAAGGUUCCCCUUUCCCCACGGAACUGGGCUUAGUGAGUGCAUUGUCAAUGUUUGAGGCUCGGGCUUAAGAAGAAAGAGACAAAGAAUGUGAACCGUCCCACGUUUCCAUGAUCCCCCAGGUUUUCCAUAUUGCGUAAGCACCCCUCUUCUCUACCCACAUUCCACAAUUCUCCCAUGGAUGGAAACAGUGCGACAACAAGAUCGACCAAAUCUUCAAAUGGACCCUCUUUCUCUCUCAUCUCCCAUCUUACUAUAAAACAACCCACACUGCAUCUUACUCCAUACAUACCCUUUUCCUUUCUUUAUCUAAUAAUAAUAUUAAUAAUAAAUAAUAAUAAUAAUAAUAAUAAUAUUAAUAUUAACCCUUUUUCCCUUCUUCCCCUGCGCUUGCUUUCAUGGACUUCUAAGAACCCCCGCCACUGCCUUCAACUGUCUGCUCUACACGGACACACAACUUUUAUUACUAUAUACAGAGAAGAACAAGUAGAAAUCGAAUGGAGAAACUGAAUUUUGUGAAGAAUGGGGAGCUCCGAUUGCCUCCGGGCUUCCGUUUCCACCCAACCGACGAGGAAUUGGUUGUGCAAUACUUAAAGCGCAAGGUUUUCUCCUUCCCUUUGCCAGCCUCCGUCAUUCCUGAGUUUGAUGUUUGCAAGUCUGAUCCUUGGGAUUUGCCAGGUUUCCAUUUUUCCUUCUUUCCCUCUCUUUUCUUCUCAAUUCAUUUAGUCUAAUUGCAGUGCCUUGUGGAUGGUUUGUUUAGGUGAUUUAGAGAAAGAGAAGUACUUCUUCAGCACCAAAGAACCCAAAUAUCCUAACGGCAAUCGCUCCAACAGAGCCACCAGUUCAGGUUACUGGAAGGCCACUGGGUUGGACAAACAAAUUUUAACUUCAAAAGGGAACCAANUAGUGGGAAUGAAGAAGACACUUGUUUUCUACAGAGGAAAGCCACCUCAUGGAUCCAGAACCGAUUGGAUCAUGCAUGAGUAUCGCCUNCUUAACGCUCCAUCUCAGGUCAGAAUUCAGAGAGAGCAAAUUAACUCUCGAUUAUCCUCGCGCACGCAUUAAUUAUUCAUACAAUAUUUUUGGUUUGUUUGUGUGUUUAGGUUCCCAUGGAAAACUGGGUUCUGUGUCGCAUAUUUUUGAAGAGGAGAAGUGGUUGUAGAAACGUGGAGGAGAAGGAGAUGGAGAGUUUGAGAGGCGGAGUGAAUAAUAGGAAGGUGAGGAAGUCGAAGAUGGUUUUCUAUAACUUUUUGGAACAGAGCAAGACUGAUUCCUCAUCUUCUGCCGGCAGUGGAAUUACCCAUGAAUCAGAUGAGCAUGAAGAGAGCAGUAGCUCCGACACCUUCCCUUAUUUUAGAAGAAAACCUUGACACCCUCCACUUAAAUUCUAGUACUACUGCUUGUUUUCAAAUCAUCUCGGAUCAACCUAAGUUUUACCUCUUUUUUAUAUUGUCUUUCCCUGUAAUUAUCUUCUUUCCACCGGCGCUGAGGGUAGUAAUCUAGGUCUGGAGUGUGUAAUCCAGUUCUUUUUUUCCUUCAAUUUCUAAUACCCUUCAUCAUCAUGCAAAUGGAAAGGCAAUGCAUCUUUUAGCUCGCUAAACCAGCUAAAAGCUACUAAUUUUUAGUCCCAAAGGAGAUGCUUUCACAGAGCAAAAGAGAAAUUAUCCACGAUGGAAAGCAUAACAAAAGAGGUUCAAAAUACAUAUAUAUUUAUGUCCAAAAAUAAAGGACCGUUUUCAGGAGAACAUCCCCAAAAUAAGAACAUAACAUUUGCCAGAUCAGCGUCGCACUAGUUACUACCGGGCUCUUCUUCCUUUUCUUCAGGGAAAGAAGAGGCUGCAAAACAAAGCUAUGGUCAUUCUUGUCGGAUCCACCUAAAUUCCUGUUUUUUUAGGGUAUUCCCUGCACAUCAUCAUGGUAAUAAUUUCUUACAAAAUAAACUAUAAUAGCUUCAGUUCACCUUAUUCCAUUUCCACCUUCACAACUAUGCGUAUCUUAUCCAUAUCUCCUUUCUACUUGUAAUUCUUAACAAGUCCGCAAGUUGAUAUUUUUUUUCCAACUUUCCAAAUCACCAAUAUUGACUUUAUUAAACAUUCGAUAAUUGUUUGUCCAACAUAUAUAUCACUCGAUCGUUCACAAUCACAGUUAUUUUUCUUUUGUCAGGUUAACCAUAAAAUACUGUAUAUAUGAAAUGCAAAGUGAGUUAGCCUAACAUUUCUCGACAUUAAAAUUUCAAAACAAGGGAUUAAAUUUUAACACGUCUAGUUUUAAGCUAUAUAGAGAGCAUGAGAGCUACGUUUCCCUAUUGUAUACAACACUGUUGUACACCACUGCCACUACCCUCAGUUUGGAGUUGACCCAAAUUCCAACACUACAACUGAUCCAAUUUGCACCUUUUACAAAAUAAUAAAAUAAAAUAUAGGAAUAAUUAUACAAUAUGCAGAAUAAAUAAACUACCAGCGUGUUGUAAUCAUCUCCAACAAACUAAUGCAGACACUCAUAAAAUUAUAGUUCAACUCUCAAUUACUUUAUGUAUUGAUAACGAUUUAGUGGUAUAAGACAUCACUUUUAAGGCCACUUAGUCAGAGUGUGUCGGACCCAAUCCUCGAAAAACACCAAUCCAACAUACGAACCCUGUUUCGGGGAAAGAAGGGACCGCACAAUUAAAACUUUAUUAUCGUUAGCGAUUUUCACUCUUUUUUUCACAAUUAUAAAAAGUAGUUACAUAAAAAGCAUUGCUCGGAAUUAUACAAAUAUCCAAUGCAUGUAACGAUUUGGUUUUUCUAAAACGAGAAAACAUGAAGGAAUAGCAGUUAUUGAUAAAAAGAAUUGAAUAUUUGAUGAUGAGAUGGAAACAGUGAGACAAGAAGAUCGUGGAAAUCUUCAACUGGGGCAUCACUUGAAGGUACCAUAUUUGUCAUCUACCCUUAGUCCGACGUGGUUGCCCCUCGUUUUCCAACCAACUGGGUCCCUUUAACCUUUAUUCUUUCACCCACCUUUCUCCUUUAAUUUUCUUAUUAUAUUUUUAUUCAAUACACAAUUUUACAUCCAUUUAUAAAAUAUCAUAAAAGAAUAAAUCUUUAUAUUUAAAAAAUAAUAAUAAAAAAAAUGUCAAAUAAUAUAAAAAAAUGUGUAUAUCAAAAUAUAUUUUUCCUUUUAUUACACUAUAUAUCUCUCCUCCACCUUUUCCAAUUUUUCAUUCUAAAAUACUACCUCAUUUGUUCUUCAUUUUCUUUCUUAAACCCAACCUCCCUCACUAUCAAACCACUUUUUCAAAAUAAAUAAUUCUAUCAGUUAACAUCUUAUCUUUUUUCAUGGUACUCUAAAGUUAUGGUGCGUUUCAUGAUAAACAAAACAAGUCACUUAACAAUCACAACAUACUUGAGCAUCUCACACACUUCUCCACGAUUCCUUAAUAGCGGCAACCCUUUUACAAACUUCUUACCUUAAUUCUAAUCAAGUUUUGCUAACUAACUAAUAUUACCAAGUUAUCUCAAUUUUCAUUUGUGAGAGAUCGUCGUGUUUUUCAUAUUUAAUCAAUUGCACAUGUUUAUACGUAAUUAACUAAACAUCUAUAUUGUUGAAAAGUAUUAAAAUUAGUGGCUUUUUAAAACAAAUAAAAAUACUAAAAAUCCAAAAAUACUUAAAAAACUAGUCAAAAUUCAAUUAUUGAAGGUGUGCAGAUGUGACCUGUGAUAUUAUUGAUUAGCAUUUAACCCAAUUCCAUUUUUAACAUACUGUGCAGCAAUUAGAGAGCAACGUGUACAAUUUUUAGUUGUUUAAAUUGAACUCUAAAAUGAGUUCUUUUAACUUUAUCAUCUCUUUAUUAUUUACACGAUUUGUUCGAAUGACACAUAAAAUAAUUGUCUCCCUUGAAAGAGACAAGGUAAUAUGUUAAAAAAUUGACAUCAAUGAUAAUCCCGUAUUCUAAUAAAGACCUCAUAAACAAAGCACACAUUCAAAAUAAAUUUAUUUAUUUUUUCUUCGAUGAGUAUGCAAAAAUAGUAUGGUCAUGAAACCUUUUUUUUUUUAAUAAUUUUAAUAGGUCCAAAAAUUACAUUUUAGAAUAAUUUUUUAAUAACUUUCAUAUUAUAUACUAGUCUUUUAAAAGUAACCGGUCAACUGUAAGUUGCUUAUAUAACAACAAUCACAAAAUCUUAUACGGCACACCUAGGUCGAUGUAUUUUAUCAAUAUUCAACAAAUUGGUUCUUGAAUAAAAAAGAGUAAAGUAUAUAUAUUGGUUUCUUUUAAAAAUAAAAACUAAAUUCGAUAUAUUAGCUCCUCUAAUUCUUUUGUCUUUUUUUUUUUUGCAGUCACUUAGAUUUUGAAAUGCAUCAUUUUAUCCUUCGAAUUUAAAUAACGUUUUAUAAAAAAACAAAAUUAUCUAGACAACGUUCGAACGAUGAAAAGUUCUGCCUUCAUAAGUAGAAGGAAUAAAAAGAAACAACGUUUUUGAUAUAUAACUAAACUUUGGAUGUUUUAGAAUGUUAAAGAACAUAUUUUUACACUUACCAUUGACAUGAAAUAAUACAUCUAGUAUUUUUUAGAACAUCUUUUGUUGAAAUGAAAGGAAAUUAAAGCCGGAAUCUAGUUACAAAUAAAAAUAUAUUAAAACGUUGAAUUUGUGAAAGAAAUAUAAUUAAAGAACACGUUGCUAAUUGUAACUACGCAUAAAUUAUAUUAGACAUCAGUAAAAUAGAGAUGGAUGUUUCAGGUCAACGUUACGGUCAUCUGACAAAAAUAACAGACUAUUUUUUAACCUGUCAAUUUAAAUUUUCAAUCAAUAAUUUAAAAAAAAAAAAUGUGUAUAAUCAAAAGUAAUUUUAGUCGAUGGAAAUUACUUAUCUAUAAAAUAAAGCAGGUAGUAACAUGAACCAACGUAAGUGCAUACACUAUUUUUAGUGACCUAUCCAAAUAAAGUUUUUUGAAUUAAUAAAUUUUAAAAAAGUUCACCACAAUCAGACAGAAUUUCCUGAUAACUUAUUAUUUGUGAAAUAAAGGAAUUAAUCAACUUGUAUUUUUUUCCGACACAGAAUUUUUUUUUAAUAAAAAGAGAGAGUGUUUGACUAGUACUUAAUUGAAUUUAAAAACACUUGUUCUACACUCCCAAGUAACGUGGACGUUUCCAUUAUUUAGUGGGAAAAUAAAAAAUAAAUUAGGCCCACAUAGAAAUAUAUUAUGACAAUUGAGACUGCAAUACAUAGGAUCAUGUCUGUCUGGGAUAGAAUAGAUUUUCUCAUUGGUUUUAUAUGGCCAUAGUUUUUAUGCAUGUAGCUUUAAUAAGAAUAUAUGCCAAUAUGUAUGGUUAGUCGAUUUGAGCGUGAUUUAGACCCUUAAGUUAUUGAAAAGCUAACAGAAUAUUUUAAUUGAUUUGAAAAUGAUUUCGCAAGUGUAUGUUGUUUACGUUCACGGCUCCUCAAAUGAAUGUGGUAUCAGAAGAAUUCAUAAAUGCAAUAAAUUCAAUUUUCAAAAGUGUCUCAGAUACAUAAUUAACUAUUUGUAAUCUAAAAGGAUCUUGAACAAGCGUGGACCUUAAUUGCAUUUAAAAAUUAAAACCUUAAGAAAAUCAAAGCUAAAAGGUGAAUUAAGUACCUAUACAUAGUAAAUAAUGUUAGAAGAAAUUAAUUUACUUUAACUAAUACAAAGUUUUGUAAAACAUGGAUGUCCCGUUAACAAUAGACUGAGGAGUCAACAAUCUUUUCGAUAUUAUGAAAGAUGAUUGAUGCACUGAUCAGUUAGACUAUAAACAAAAUUAAUAACGAGAAUAAUUACAUAAUCCUAAAUCAAAUUAUUACUAUUUAAAUUAUAAUUAAGCUAAUAUUAAUCAAAAGAAUAUCCCAAAUAUAAGUUUAAUAUUUAGAUAAUUAAUUACUUUUUAUUAGUAUUUAUUGUUACAAUAAUUAAAUCAACACUAACUUUAAAGAUUGAACAUAAAAUCCUGUUUGGAAAACAUGAAAGGGGAUUUGAAAAAUAAGAUAAGAAUAAUAUUAGUGAUGUAAAGUGGAAAGGGAGGGUAAGAAAAGGUAACACCGACAGAAUAGGAUGCGUCUGAAGUGUGAAGAAGUUAGUAACUAACAAAACAAAACAAAACCAAAAGAGUUGAGUUUCCUGUAUUCAUUGAUAUUGGUUUGCUCCCCGUUGAGGGAUAGAACAGAAAUAGAAACAAGUUAGUGUGAGAGAGGGAGAGGGUUAGUUGUGUACUUUCAUCAAAUCAGUGCCAUGCCACUGAUAUAGCCUCUUUGUCUUGCCUUGGGUCACCUCCAGCUGUACCCCAUCACAAAACCUCACUUCAUGCACCUCUUCAUUUCACUUCAACAGUAAAACCACCAAAAUCAAAAUUUAGUAAACUCAAGACAAAUUUUGUUUCCAAGAAAAAAUGGAGAACUUGUUUUGUUUUAUCCAAGGAAGGGACCGAGGAGUGCUUGUUUUGGAUAAACCCAACGGAAUUCUCUUCCAAUCACAACACAAGGAACAAGAGGUCGACGGAACUAGGCUUUGUUUUCUUAUUAGCAGCCGCAGCCGCAGCCACUCUGGUCUCACGAACUUUUCUCACGAACAAACCAAAAUAAUAAUAAUAAUAAUAAUAAAACCUUAAACCACAGUUAAUAUAACGUCAAAGUAAAAGAAAGGUUGAGUCUGGUUUACGCAAAAUGUGUCGUCUUAUUCUUCUCCUUCCUUCCUGUCAGACCCAUUUCUAUAAAAGAAGCCACACUGCAUCUUACUCCAUACCCUUUUGCUUUCUUUAUCCAAUAAUAAUAACCCCCUUUUCCCUCCUUUUUCUUCUUUCCUUUCCCCUUCUUCUUCAGCCCCUUUCUUUAUUUUCCUCAACGCUUUAAUGGACUUAUAAGAACCCCCACGAGUGCUUCAAUUGUCACCCACCCAACUUUCCUACUCUGCUCUAGUCGGACACACAGAGCUAUUCUCACUAUAUUCCUAAACAUAUACAGAGAAGAAGUAGGGCGUGGUCGAAUGGAGAAACUGAAUUUUGUCAAAAAUGGGGAGCUCAGAUUGCCUCCGGGCUUCCGUUUCCACCCAACCGACGAGGAAUUGGUUGUGCAAUACUUAAAGCGGAAGGUUUUCUCCUUCCCUUUGCCAGCCUCCGUCAUUCCUGAGUUUGAUGUUUGCAAGUCUGAUCCUUGGGAUUUGCCAGGUUUCCAUAAUUCCCUUCUUCUCCUCUCUCUUCUUCUUAACUAAUUAAGUCUAAUUGCAAUGCCUUGUGGAUGGUGUGUUUAGGUGAUUUAGAGAAAGAGAGGUACUUCUUCAGCACCAAAGAGCCCAAAUAUCCCAACGGCAACCGCUCCAACAGAGCCACCAGUUCAGGUUACUGGAAGGCCACUGGGUUGGACAAACAAAUUUUAACUUCAAAAGGGAACCAAGUAGUGGGAAUGAAGAAGACACUUGUUUUCUACAGAGGAAAGCCACCUCAUGGAUCCAGAACCGAUUGGAUCAUGCAUGAGUAUCGCCUCCUUAACCCUCCGUCUCAGGUCAGGAUUCGGAGAGAGCAAAUUAACUCACAAUUAUCCUCGCGCACGCAUUAAUUAUUCAUACAAUAUUUUUGGUUUGUUUGUGUAUUCAGGUUCCCAUGGAAAACUGGGUUCUGUGUCGCAUAUUUUUGAAGAGGAGAAGUGGUUGUAGAAACGGGGAGGAGAAGGAGAUGGAGAGUUUGAGAGGCAGAGUGGAUAACCGGAAGGUGGGGAAGUUGAAGAUGGUUUUUUAUGACUUUUUGGCGCAGAACAAGACUGAUUGCUCAUCUUCUGCCGGCAGUGGAAUUACCCACGAAUCAGAUGAGAAUGAAGAGAGUAGUAGCUCCAACACCUUCCCUUAUGUUAGAAGAAAACCUUGAGUCCCUUUAGUUAUUUCUAGCACCACUACUUGUUUUACAACCAUCUCAGAUCAACCUAAGCUUUGCCUCUUUCUUUUAUUGUCUUUCCCUGUAAUUAUCUUUUCAUUUUCAACCGGCACUAAGGGUAGUCUAUGUCUGGAGAGUAUGCUACUAAAACUAGUGUGUAAUCCAGUUCUUAUUUUUACUUCAAUCUGUUCUUACUUUUACUUGAAUCUCUAACACACUUCAUGAUGCAAAUGCAAUUGCAAUGCUGCUUAAAAGUUACUGAUUUUCAGUCCUAAAGGAAAAGCUUUCACAGAGCAAAAGAAAAUCACAGUUUUCUUCACAAAAUUUUAAAAAUAAAUUAAAAAAAAAUACACGAAAUGAUAAAAAUAUGUAACGUAAAUAUAUAUUAUACGUGUAAAGAUUUGGUUUUUUCCAGAAUGAGAAAAGAUAAAGUAGUAACACUUAUAUUAAUAAAAAAAUCAAUAUUUCAAUACAUGUAUGAUUAUGUAAUAAUGUUAUACUACACGUUCAUUUUUUUUUAAUUAAAAACUAUUUAUUUGAUCUAUUAAAAGAGGACUUGAAUUCUAGAGGCAAUGUUAUCAUGAUCAUUGAAUUUAUGUUUUAGUAUAUAAUGAAUGAUAGUUAGAUAUCAUAUUAAAAAAAAUUCGGCAAAACUAAAUAGGAAAAUUACAAAAAUUGUUGGUCUGAAAAUGAAUGGCAAGUUUAUUUAUUUUAUUUUUCUAAUUGUAGCAAAAGUGUUUUCAUCUAAUUUUAAAUGUCUUAAAACAAUUUUAGAAGAAAAAUUAUAGAAAAAAAUGUUAUAUUAAUUCUUGUUUUAUAAUUAAAACUUACUUCUUUACUAUUUAUAGGGGGGUUUUUAGUUACAACUCAAUUACAAUAUUUUGUUCAACUACUUUUAAUUAAUAUUAGAAGAAUUUUACAAUUACAAGUAUUCUACGUCCAUCUUAAUAAGAAAACAUUACACUUUCUUUUAUGUAUAAAUAGAUAGUUUUAAGAAAACAUUACACUUUCUAUUAUAUAUAAAUAGAUAGUUUAAAGAUAAAAGUAAGUAAAAAUGUAAGUUCGUAGAAGAGACAGUGAAAAUAUUUUAAGAAUCAUACUGUCCCUCCCAUCGCAUUUUGACUCUUUGGUAUUUUGCUCACAAAAAUUGGAUCAAUCAUGCCAUUGUGCAUAAAAAUGGCAGACUACCAUGUUGUACAUAAACAAAUUUAAAAAAAAGAAAUACUAUAUUCUAACAUUAAUCUUAUUUAAAAUUUUCAUAUCUUUAUUUCAUUAUAUAGAUUUACAAUUGAAAUGAGCUGAAUAUAAGAUUACCAUCUACAUUAAAUAAAUAUUAAAAGUUAAAUAUUUAAUUAACAAUAAAAAAUAAUUAUUAAUUAAGUUACUAAAAAAUUAUAAUAAUUAACCAUAAUUUUUCUUUACUUUCAAAAGUUUUUUAUAUAUAUAUUUUAAUGACAUUGGGUGCAGUCUUGGAACAUUCCAUAUAUUUUACCAUCUAUACAUUUUAAUAAACAUACUUAGUUUAAGAGCACUUUCAAUUUAAAAAAUGAAUCUGAACUUUAGUUUCAGCAUUAUAUUUUAAAGGUUUAGAAGAUUAUAAAGUAGAUUAUAACGCUUUCACAUGGAUUAAUUUCUUAUCCUUUUAAGAUUAAUGAGUUUAAAUCUUGUAUCUGGGAAUUAAUCUAGAACUAUGGUUAUCACGUUUGUGUUUCUUCUAUCAUGUAUGUGUUCUUACCCCUUUGGGAAUCUAUCCAAAAUCUUCAUACUGUAUGAGAUUAGAGUAUUCUACUAUAAUCUUUUGAGGCUCGUUGUUAACAGUUUGGAAUUUUUCAAACAAUUCGUUUCAAUACAAUUCUUCCUGUGUUUUAAGAUUGGUGGGCUUUUUCAAUUAAACAUAGUUUGUGCCUUCGUGGAUUAUCUUAUAGCAUCAGAUAAUUGUGUUGCUUUGUACCCAUGAUAUUUAUUAUAUUCAAAUUUAGGUAAAAUACAAUUUAUAAUAUUUUUAGCCUAAGUUCUUUGUGUUUAAUUUUCCUCAUCUAACUUAUUUGAACACAGGACAGAAUAAAAUAGGCCAACAAUAAAUCAUUAGAACAUUUACUUUAGUUUAUCUGUUGGACGAUGCAUCAAUGGUUCAUAUCCUCUGAAACAUCAAAUGAAACAGACAUCUAUUUAGAGGAAUUUAUCAUCUAAAAAGAUGAACGCAACUGUUUGGAUUUUAAAAUAAUAUUUUUAUUUUUUAACACGUAUAGUAACUGUGAAUUAACUUUUGAAGAAAAGUCAAGUGAAAUUCUUCUUAAAUCAUUGUUUCUAAAAUUUAACUUCUAUGGUUAGACUAAAACUGUAUAUAAAGUCACAUCCUAAUUCCACAUCAGCCAAUCAUGAUAAAGACAAAUUUAUUUGGACAUAUGUCAUAUAGGACCCCUUUACUUAGUAAUUUUAUCAUUUAAUCACAGUUCUAAUUACUUAAAAGUGUUAGUACUCGAACAUUUAAAGAAGGAAAAAUACUAGUUCAUCAUCAACUGCAAAUAUUGUUAAGAACUUCUGUAUUUUCAGCAUAGUUUUUAUUCAAGUACAAAAAUAGUAUAUUUUUUAAACAUGUUUAAGUUCGAUUUUGAAAUUCGGAUGCAUAUUUUCCGUCUAACUAUAUUUCAAAAAAUUAAACUUUGCCUAAUGUACGAGACUUCUCUCACUUUAACUAACUCUAUAUUACGAAAGAUAGGGCUAUCAUCACACCCUUUUAUCAUGAAGUAAAAUUUUGAAGGACUCAAAAUUAUCAAGGGAACUGACUAUAAGAACGAAAUUCACUAUUUCACAAGUCCCUAUAAAUAUAGCUAAUAUAGUAAAAGAGUGCUGGGAAGAAAUGUUAAAAGUGUGUUUGGUAACAUUCUUGAAUUCAUUAAACUAGAGAAGACUAUAAAAGUUGAGCGGUAGGAACAAAAAGAUGAAUUAAGAAUGAAAGAAAUAAAAAAGAAUUAAUUGGCGAGCGGAGUUUGUUGUUAAUAAGGGUAUUAGAGUUCUUCACGUCACCUUUUCUAUUUAAGUUUCAUUUUCAUGGAGAAAAUACAGGAUGACAAAGAGUGUUGUGUGAAUUGCUGACUUAGUAGAACAAUGCAAACUUUUGUCAAUCACGUGGGUAGCCUAUCAUGGUCACACAUGACCCGACCCAUUCACUCCAAUCCAAGCUAAACUUGGUAGUAGGCUCACCUGAUUAGGUCAAUCAGGUUAAGAAGGUUUCCUAUCAAUUAUUAUUUUUCCUUCAAAAACUGUCUUGCACAGAAGGCAACAUGUCCAUCCAUCAAUUGUGACUAUGUCUAUUAAUGUUGUUUGCCUGUAGGGUUUUACAAGGUUUGCUUAGUACAAUUGAAACAAACAAGACGUGUCCAUUUCUUACUUCUUCUCCUAACCAAAUAAAUCUAAGUACAUGGGCCCCAAUUCCCAAAAGAGAUCCAAAGUCCUCUUCUCCACCAAGGCAAAAAUGGAUUAAAAUUGUGAGUGACUCAGUACAUGUUCAACUCGAGUUGAGAUAUAAAAAAAUAAAAUAAACAUGAAUCAAACUGAACUAACUCAGGUUCGUCGAAUUCAAACUCAAUUGAAAAUAAACUGUGUUACUAUUGCCUAACAAUGUCAUUUAUUAUAAUUAUUUACUAUAAGUCGAUAAUUUGAUCUUUUGAUCUUCUUUAACAUUAGAAUCAUGCUAAUAGUGUUAAAUUAUUUGAAUAGGAUUUCAUUGUUUGUCUAAUUGUAUAUAUUAUGCUUACUAUUUUUAUAAUAGUAUUUUCUAAUUUUAGUUGAUGUUUGAUGAAAUAAAUAAAUAAAUACCUUAAUUAUAUUUUAACAGAUAUAUCAGAUCAAUCUACUUUGCUUCUACUAAUAAAACCAAAUUGAAAGAAAAACAAAGCGUUAAGGAGUCAACCGGUUGGGGAUAAGUUGGCUUGCAUCGCAUUGACGUCAAAAAGCCAAUUCCAUUUCAGCCCUACAACAAGUUCACGGGCCAUAAAUUAAGGGCCCCCACAACACUACGGCCCAAAACACAAUUCUCCCUCCUUUACCACUGUUACCUAUAUUGGCAAUUUUCUUUUACAACUUCUUUGGAAAUAUAUGUGUGUGUAUAUAUAUAUAUAUAUAUAUCAAAUCUCAUCGAUCAUGAUAACUAAAUCAAUAAGAACUCGUUUGUUUGACAAAAAUGAGAUAGAGCACCUCUUGAACAAGUUUUCACGAAAGGAUAGUUUGAUUAAGAGCUCUAUGAAAUAAGUUAAAAAGUGUUUAUGGUUGCCUAUAGAAAUUAGAUAAAGAAAAAAGAGUUUAUAGGGAGGUUAUAUAGAAAACAAAAUAAGAAUGGCAUUAUUGUGUAAUUAUUAGGUAAGAACAGUCCAUAAAAGAAAAUAAAAAUAACAGUGAAGAGCAUGUAACAAGAGUAUGGCAGGCACGGCAUAGCUAGAUUGAUAAGAGAUAGAAUUCAAGCAUAGAAUAUAUUAGAAAGCAAUCUGUAAAAGUAAAGAUGGAGUAGGAUAUUUGAGGGUUACAAAUAGGAUUUGAAGGAAAAAAGGAGUGAGUAAUUGAAUGAUCCUGCAAUGAUGCAAGAGAUGAUUGAGAGCAUGCCUUGAAGACAGCUUCAUUCUUGAAAUGGAUUUCAGAAGAAGAGAAUAGAGAUGUGGUUGUCGAAGAAGAAGAAGAAACCCUAAAAAGGAGAAAUAGAGAGAUAGAGAGAGAUGGAAAACCUGCCAAACGCGGCGGAGGAGGCGCUUCUCAGCAUUGGCUUCUUCACGAUCUCCAUCACCCGCGUCCCCCACAGUGCACCACCCAUCCUUAGAUACCAAAUAUCUCUUUCUUUCCGUUGCCCAGCCACCACCACCACCUCCACCCCUUUUUCUCAUUUCCAAUUUGGGCUCAACCUUUUCAUUUUAUUGGGCUUUCUUUCUCUCUAUCCAUUUCUAUUUCCAUUCUCACAUUUUACUAUUUCCACUCUUCCAAUUCUCUGUCUCUUAUAUUCUUGUAUCCUAAUAAUCUAAUUUUACCUAAAUUAAAAACGUAUUUAUAGCAAAAAAUAAUAUUAGGAUAAUUAUAGAUAGAUUUCAUUUUUAAUAGAACAAGAAAAAAGAAAACUACACUUUCAGUACAACAACUCUUUAAUUUUAUUAGUUUUUGUAUUCAAACAAAAUCAAAGAAUCAUAGUAUUUGUACUAAAAUAAUAAUUUUAUUAUUAUACUAAAAAUAAAAUAUAUAUGUAUACUCACCAUACUAAACCAAUUAUUUAUCUGAAAAAAAAAUAUCAAAAAAUUUAAAUGUAUAUAAUAUAAAUCAAAUUUGAUAAUGAAGACAUAAACAUGUGUUUGAAACCAAUGAUUAAGUACUCGAAGCAAAUCAUAUGUUAAUAUAAUUAAAGUAAUUAAAAGGUAAGAAAAAGAACAACUUCCUAAUCAGAUGUUGAAGAUAAACAAAAUCCAAAUAUUGAUACAUUAAAAAAUAAUCUAAACACAUUAUCAUAUUAGCAUACGAAAUAUAAUAAUGACUUAUUUUUAGUUGCACUUGUCAUGCCAUUGAGAAUAGCUAUUACAUUAUUUCUUACAUUUCCAUACUUAUAAAGAUCUUAAAUCCUUUGAUUUGUUUGUCUCAAUUUCACAAAAACGAGUUAAUAUAAGCAUUUCCACAAAAUCUGAGUAAAAGAUACACAAUAUUUUAAUUACUUCCCUAAUAUAUUUCUAAAACGGAAUAAACCUGUUAGUAAAUAAUCCAAAAUUAUCAAAUUACAAUAAAGUGCAAGAAUCAUAAACUAUAUUCAAAGGUAGUUAAUAUGUCCCCUCUUACAUUUAGCUUUGAUUUUACAGAGCCUUUAAACUCUAAUAUUUGAGUCCUCUAAUUAACCCAACCACAAAAGUCCUAUAACAAUAACGUAAAUAUAUUACUAAAACAUUUUUAAAACAAAAUAAGUUUAUAUUAAAAAGGAAAAUAUUUUUUUAAAAACUUUAUUUUAAUAAUUUUUCUACAACGUCCAUGUAGAAACUUGCAAAUGAUCCAUCUCAAAUAUUUUAUUAAAAAUAAAUUCAUACAAACUAAUAAAAUAAUAACUAUUAUCAAAAUAUUAUUAUAAAAAGUUAUUAACAUAUAAUUAAAAAAAGUUAGAAUCGUACAAUUUUAAAGAAGUGCAAGAAAUAUAAAUUGUAUUAAAAAAUAAUUAGAAUAUCAAAUCUUAUCCUUUACUUAAAUUUGAGAAAUUCCAAAAUACUUUUAAUUAUAGAUAAAAACUUACUAUGAAAAUAAAUUCAUUGAUAAAAUAACAUUUAUUAUAAUUUUCUUUUGACAAAAAAAAAUUGUAAAUAAAAAUUUGAAUUAUUGACGAAAAAAAUUAUUCAAUAAAAUAUGUAAGUUAUCUUAAAUUAUUGUUAUCGAAGGUUUUUUUAUUAGUAAAUCAUGUUCGGGCACUACAUUUUCCACUUUGAUUCGUGCUAAAAUUUGUUAGUGAAAUUGUUGAUUAUAAAAAUUUUUAAAAUCUGUCAGUAAAAAUCCAUCAAAUAAAAAUUUAUUUAUUGAUGAAAAAUUCCUCCAAUAAAUUAGGAAUCAAAAUUAUCACUCAAUCUAAUUAAAUAUUUAUAAAUUAAUUGAUUAAUAUUUGUUGAUAAUUUUUUUUCGAUAAAAUAAAUUUUUAAUUAUAAAAAAAAAUGUUGAUAAAUUCGUUAGUAAAAAAAUCCGAAAGAAAAAAAAAAUUGUCUAAUUUUUCAAUAACAUAUUCGUAAAAGAAAAUUUUGAUAAAAAUAUAAAUUGUCAGUAAAUUCGUAAGUAAUUUACAGUUGUUAUUACAAGGAACUUUUCUAUUUGUGAAUUAUGUUGAUAAAAGAUUAUGCACUUCCUUUUUUAUUUGUGAUAAAAUUUAUUAAUAAAUUCGUCGAUAACUGAUUUUCUUAAAAUCUAUUACUGAAAAUUUGUCGAUGAAUUUAUGGAUAAGGUACCAAAUUUUUCAUUCAAACUAACAAAAUAUGUUAAUAAAUUAAUUUCUCAAUAUUCGUCGGGAAAAUAAAAUUUUCAUCAUCUUCAAGAAUAAUUGCAAAAAUAAUGAUAAGAAUAAAAGAGAGAAAAAGAUAAAUAUUUAUCAAUAAAUUUUAAUAAAAAUAAAAAUUAUCCAAUGAAUUUUAUUAAUGAAUAAUUAUUCAAAGAAUUUUUAAUUAUUAAUAAUUAUCGACAAAUUUUCGAAUCUGUUGAUAAAAUUUAGUGAUGAACAUUUGAUGGAUAAAUUUUUUACUUGUAGUGUGUAACAUCUCAAUAAAUAUAACUUGAAAACUAUAAUUUAUUUUAGGGGUAUACAUAAACAAUAAUAAAGGACAGUAGGAGAUAAGCACUUAAGAGUAACGAGAAUAUGAGAUUUCAUAUAGAAUUUAAAGUUGUACAAAAAUAUAGAAGUUUGGUAGCUUUAAGGCCGAACAGUCAUAUGACAAGUUCCAGGCCGAAUGGUACAUCAAAGGGAUAACUAGACCGAACGGUUCUUACAAAACACGAACCGAACGGUUAUUACACUAAGCAAAUGAAAAAUCUAAUCUAAGGACCGGACGGUCCUGCACAAGUCUCCGACAUCACAUCCAAGGGUUGUUCUGUUUGCAAGGCAUCUUCCAAAGUAUCUUCUAGAGCACCCUCUGCUCACACCCAAACGGAUGAUCAUUGCAGUGAAGAGAACAAACCGGACAGUCGAAUAUCGAACGACAACAUAGACAAGACAAAACAGAUAAGGGUAAGCUUAUGUAAAUUUAAUUAAUCAUUUCUAUAUAUUUUUCAAAACAUACACAUAAUCACAUACAUCAAUAUCUCAAUCAUGUAAUCAUCAUAUAAGAAUAACAAUAAAACCGAACGUAUACAUCACUCAAAUCAUCUCAUAUAAUAACCGAACAUAUAAAACAUUAUGACCGACCAUUAUGACUCUGUCCGGACUGUAGGAAUAUGUAGCUAUGGUUAUCCUUGCAUCUGUGGGUGGUAACCUGGAAUAAACCAUCAGUAUUACCGCAACAUGGAUAACCCUUGAGUUUGCCCACGAGGUUAGCCUGUUAAAACACCUUAGGUCAAGGUUGUACACACCGCCCAGGCUAGAGCCUCCUGCCAUUCUCACCACAUGGUCACUAGCGCUAGUGAGCAUUAGAAUAUCAGGACGAACACCAAUACAAAGUUGGCCAUAUUCUUACUUCACCAUCAAUCAAACAUAUGGUAUGAACCAUGUAUGCUCGCCGCUCUCUGCACUCAGUGUGGACCUGGCUAGCAUAACUCAUCAGACCGCCACCCGAGGUUAGUCCUAAAACGAUCACCUGGUCUUAUGAUCAUGGACCUCCUGCCAUUCACACGCAUGACUUUUCCUCCUCUAUAUGAGAAGGCAAAAUCACGAAAUAUCAGGAUAGAGCGGAACCUGAGCCUUAGCCACGGUCGUACUUUACCAAUAUAAGUCCAAUCAUGAGCUAUUCCUCCCUGGAAUACUCUUACUUAAAUCAAUACUACACAAGGUUAAGGAAAUGACCGGACGGUAAGACACAUAAAGGAAAUGGAGUACCAAGGAAAACUUAAUAGAUGACCGAACGGUCGGAUCGAAUUAAGAAAAACAACAUAGAAGAAGUUCUAGUAAGGGACCGAACGGUCAAGCAAGGAAGGAAACCGAGCGUUGUUUGAAGAUAAAGAAAAAUAAAUAAUUCAAGGAAAUGAAUGAACGUUCAACAAUAGGUUACCUUUAACAAGACCCAGUACUUUACAGUUUGGCUGAAUGCCUUAAUAUACAUAAACUAGAGUUCUUUUCAGUAAAACGAGUGUCAGUGCAAAACCGAACACUCUGUGAGGGAUCAAGUGUCAGUGUAAGACCGAUAAUAGAUAUUAUUAUAAACUGGACAUUUUUCCCAAGAAGGAUAAUUAACACCAAACCAAGUACUUAGUCUAUGACCAAAUAGUCAAACAUAAUAUCAUAUUUGUAAAACCGAACGCUGGGUUUAUGACCGAAUGUUCUUAAAAUGAGUAGUAAUUAUAAUACGAAAUCGAAUGCUUCAGAAGUUAAGUGUCAGUCUAAUACCAAACACUUGUAUGAUUGAACGUAUAGUUUAUGACCAGACGUUCUUAGAAUUCAAGCACUGGUAUAAGACUUAGCACUUUUAAUAAACAUUAUCAAUAUAGGCCGAACACUCAGUGUAUGACUGAACGUUCUAAAUAGUUAAUACGAGACCGAAUACUCAGUGUAUGACCAAGCACUUAGAGACCGGACGUUCAGUAUAGGACCGGACGUCCUUUAAUGGUUAAUUCCGAACGGAUAACCAAGCAAGAUAUUUAAGUUUCAACACAAAGGUACCAGAUCAAUUGUUUUAAGAGGAAACCGAACGGUCCUAAUGACCCUUCGAUUACAGAUUCAUAUUUUCACUAAGUUUUAUAACUUUAUGACAUAUUUCAUACAAAAAAUCAAACAUGCAUUUCUCAGCAACAAGAUCAUACAUUCAGCAAGCAUAACUCACAAAAUAUUGCAUACAAAAAUAAUCAUAAUUAAAUUUAUAAGCUUCCCUUACCUCUAUUUCCAGCUAGGCCUCUAAGGUUCCUUUAGCACUGACUACCUCUUCUAAUGUUCCCAAGGUCUAGAGUCAAAUUACAAGACAACCGAUUUUAGGGAAAUGGUUUAACAAUCACAUGCAAGCUUAAAGGGUGCUUGCAUGCAAGAAUACCAAUAAGCUUAAAUGGCCAGAAAACACUUACCGAUUCAUAACGGAAAUUGGACCGGUGCAAAGUGAAGGUCUUGACGACGAGAACAAUUAAUCUGAAAGUAAUCAGGUGAUCGGAGGAGGGGAAAGGGUUAGAAUUCUAGACAGGAGGCUGAAGGGUUUUAGAGAGAAGGAGGAGAAAAUGGAGUUCUGAAAUUUUGGAGAAGAAGAUCGCAUGUAGGGAAAAUGAUGUCAGAUUUAAAACUCCAGCUUUUAUAUCACCUCCAAAAACCAAACGGUCAAGUCUCAUGCUGCCACAUGUUUUCCACUUCCUGAAUUGCUGCACUCCAUGGGCUGCCACUUGGAUUCCACUUCCUGUACAUCUCACCUUUUUUGUUGCCGCACGGUUUCCAAUGAUUGAGAAAUUAAAUACACGUACAGAUUUUGUCUUCCACUGUCAUGGGAAGCUUGGAACGAUGUGACAUGUGUUUUCCACUAAGAUGGAGAAUUUAUGAGAUGUGACAUAGUGGUUUUUGAUUUAUCAACAAAUUAUAAACGUUAUUAUUGACAAACUUUAAUCAUAGAUAAUUUUCUUUUUUUGAUGAGACCAUAAACUUUUUCAUUUACUUCAAUCUUCCUAAGAUCAUAACAUUUGUUUUAGUCUUAAACUUACAUGUUAAUAUGAACACUAUUAAAAAAGUCUAAAUAAAUACAUAUAUAUAUAUAUAUAUAUAUAUAUAUAUAUAUAUAUAUAUAUAUAUAUAUAUAUAUAUAAUUGAUAUGUAUGUUUAAAAGUCUAAUAUAUGUUACUAUAGUAUAAAUGUCCUAGUAAAUAUUUUGAAUGAGUUUGAUGGUUAAGAAUUAUUUACAUGCUUAAUAAUAUAAAUAUAAAUGCACAAUUUCUUUAAAAACAUUAUUUUAUACAUGUGUUAGAAUGACAAACUAUAUUAAAAAAUAACUAGUAUGUUAGUUUUCAACUUUUACAUUAAUUUCAUAAAGAUCUUAAGGUUAAUACACACAUCACCACGAUGUGAUAGUAAAAGCAACAACAUCAAAGCAUUAAUAAUACGUUUUUAAAAUAAAAUAAACUUACAUGAAAAAAAUAAAAAAACCGUCUAAUUAGAAAAAAAAAAUGAUAAAAUAACAAAUUGUAUUAAAAAAAAUAUUAUGUUAACUCUUAUUUUUUUCCUUUAAUCUCAUUAUAACCCUAAACUCUUAUAUUUGCUUUAAUAUCUAGAUGACAAAAAAUAGGUCCAUAUAAAGACCAAUACAAAACUCACCAGGACAUUUUUAAAACAAAAUUAAAUCUACAUUAAAAAAAUUAUCUUUGUAAUGAAAUAGAGUGGCUACCACCAAAAUCUGAGUAAAUAUAUUACUUAAAGUAUUUAAAACAUAAUUAGAACAUUUUAUCUAACUUGUAUUAAAAAUAGAAUGAGCACUCAAGCAACUUAAUGAAAAAUAUUGCUACGAAAAUCAAGGUAAACAUAUAAAAAGUACGACCACAUAAUCAAAAUAAACUUGUUAUUAAUUGUAUUUAAAACAAAAUAAGGAUAUUUCAUUCAACUUAUAGUUAAAAUAGAGUAAACACAUAUAUAACCCAAUGAAAAAUACUGUCACAAAAAUCAAGGUAAAUGCACAAACCUUGCAACACAAAUGAUCAUGUAAAUAGAUUAUUGAGCAUAUAUUUAAAAUAAGAUGAAAAUAUAAGCAACUCAAAUGAAAAAUAUUACCAUAUAAAUUAAAAUAAACACACAAAUCUAUAAACACUAUAUCAGUAUUACAGAAAGAACCUUAGAAAAAUAUAAUAAGAUAAAACAGAAAGUAAUGAAGAAAAUUCAGCAAUGAUGUAAGCAUAUUUACAUUAGGAUAAGAAUAAUCCAAUAUUUUUUAUAAAUAUUAAAAGAACAAUAAAAUUUUAGUAUGACCUUGCACUCUCACACCUCAGUCUCUAACACACACAAAAGUAGGUUAAUAAAAAUACUAAUAAAAAAAUUACAAGUAACAACAACAAAUAUAGUCCAUAGCGUGCUAUGAUAAAAUUGAUGUAUAUGUUUUGAAGUUUGAGUGUAUUGUUAUAAUAUGAAAGCUCUAGUAAGUUUUUUAAAUGAGUUUCACAGUUACUAACUAUUUUAUAAACUUAACAAUGUAAAUAUAAAAUAUUCAUAUAUUGCAUAAAUUUAUAUCAAAUUAUUAUUUUACAUGAGUUGAAAUCACAAUUUGUAUUCAAACAUAGAUACUAUGUUAAGGUUUUACUUUUGCUUUAAUGUUACAAAUAUCUUUAAAUACAUGUUCUAUAGUAGAGAUUGUAUUGAAAAUAUACAAAUCUAUAAGAAAUAUAUGACUUAUUUAAGUUAUUCUUUUUAUUAUAUAUGAAUACACAUAUACUUAUAAACAAUAAGUAUAUAAAGUAAUAAAAAAAUCACAGUUCAUGAAAAAACCAAAUAACAAAUAUUAAUUAAUAAAUUAUAAAAAAUUAAGUAUUUAAUAAAAUAAAAUAUUUUAUUAGAGACUCGUAUUAAAAUAUUCAAACUUACCAAAUAUUUCAAACUUAUUUUUCUCGAAAUUAAAAGUGGAAUAUUUUAAAGUACAAAAGUAAUUGAUUUAGUAAGAAAAAUAUAUUAUUAAGAAUUUUAUUUUAAUUAUUAAUGUGAAGUUUACAAGUGUUGUUUAUCGAAUGGGGUUGUUGUGGGUGAGCGAGGAGGAACAGCAGCCUGUGUCUGCCUCACCAACCUACCUCGCACGACCCAUGUGGUUGGCGAGUAUAUUAAUUUUUAUAAUUAAGGUUUUUCUUUGAUUUUUCUUUUUUUAGUAAUACUUUAAAAGAUCAUUUGUAAGGGUAUUUAAAAGCAUUAUUCUAAAAUUAUACAAACAAAUCUCAAUGGGACAAAAACUGUUAUUUUUUUUUUAAAAGUGGAAGAAUGUAAUAUUGGAUUUUUAGUAAAUAUAAUAUCUUUAUCAGUAUCAUUUUCUACUUUGAGAAAUUUCCUUAUUCUAAAUUAUUUUACAAUAUUCAAAUAUAACGGAGUUUGAAUAAUAAAUAAGAAAAAAGAAAAGUGUAACGAUAAAUAAAUAAUUAUAUUGAAAAGAAUAAGAAAGGAGGAAGGGCAAGAGAAAAAGGGUGGGGGUUGUUUGGUUUGGUUCAUACUAGUUUGUGUGGGUAUCGUUAAGCUAGUGGCGAUCCGAUCCAGCUACAGUUACAGGUGCGGCUUCUUCUUCAUCUUCUUCUGCAUCGUCUUCCAGAUCUUUCUUUCAAUCCUCACACGCGCCUGCCUCUUACUUAGUUCUAGGGUCUUUGUUUCCGCCAUAGAUGUUUGUUCAUAUCUGCUUCUCGCGCAUUUUGUCGAUUAGUUUUUUAGUUUUUAAUGUAAAAAAAUGAAAUUAGUUGAUAGAUUACGACUUUUUGUGACUUUCUUGUUUCUGUUUGCUUGAUUGAAGAUCAAAUAAGCAAGAUGUUCGGUGUAAUAAAGCACAAGGUAUGACUUUUUUUCUGAUUGCAAUUGCAUUUCGCUGUGCUUUAUACGAUGAACACAACAGAACGCACACUCUUUUUUGCAGGCUCAGAGCAUUCGCCCUGCCUUCUCCGCUAUCAGACAUUUUUCUUCUGCCGCCAAAGAGGUUUGUAUUAUUGAUCUCAUCUAAUCUCUUAUCAGAUAUCAACCAAACCCGCCGUUUCUCUGAUUCACGUCUUUCGCUGCAGAUCACUGUUCGAGAGGCUCUCAACACCGCACUCGAUGAGGAAAUGUCAGCUGAUCCUAAAGUCUUCUUGAUGGGUGAAGAGGUCAUCCAUUUGUAUUCUAUUCUAUUCUCUCUUUCCUUUUUACAUUUUUUUUAAUGUUUUUUCGCCCUUGCCCUCUUGUGUUAAGUUUGGUCCUUCGUUUUCCUUCUGUUUAAGUGCAGGUUGGGGAAUAUCAGGGUGCAUACAAGGUUAGUUUACUUGUCUUGCCAACCUCUGGAUUUAACAAUUGGAUACCAUUACUUAUUACCUCUUAACAUUCUUUCUUCUUUCAUUCUAGAUAUCCAAGGGGCUGCUCGAGAAGUAUGGCCCUGAGAGGGUUCUCGAUACCCCAAUCACUGAGGUCAUUUUCCUUGCGCACAUUUCGUAUCUCUUUCAUACUUCAUACUUAUCCACCCAUUUGGUUUGCAACUUAUUUACCAUCUCCUUCCGUCUCUCCCUUACAUUCGUUACACCGCUUCACUGUAUGUACUUUUAGGUAACAAUGGUUGCAAACUGGUACACAUUUGGUACUUCUUGAGGCUCUAACCCUAUCCCAGUUUUAGUGUCUAUUAGAUAUAGUACCAUUCAAGAAAGAAAAAAAAUUUCGCAUUGAGAAAUUCAUAAGUAUUCAAUUUUUGGUUAAAAACCUAUAUUUGAUUAUAAAACAAAUGAUGAACUCAAACUAUACAUUAAGUAGACCCUUUAAUGUUAUUUGUUGCUAUUCUUCAUUUUCUGAAUUAGCAAGAUGCUGGCAUGACUAACCCAAGCACAAUGCUAUGAGUUAGAGUUUGCGAUAAAGCACACGUGUUUCACCUUGAAUCUUCUCCAAAUGAAUUUUGUAAUAUUUUGGCAUGUAACCACUUCUGAAUUUCUCUCUGAACUUGCCAAGGUCCAACUUUAAUAUGUCGAAAGAGUCAUUAAUGGAAUCAACCUAUAAAAUAAACAAAUUGAAGCUUUAAUAAUAUGAUGGCUUCGGGAUUCAUUCGUUGGAAUUAGAAUGGAAUGUUAUUUUUGGGUUUUGUGUUCUUCAUGUGUGCCACUUUUCACUUUUUGUUACAGAUUGCUUAUUGAACAUAAAAAUUAAUCUUUUCAGCUCCUCGCUGUAACAUUGUAAUCUAAUAUCCGUGUUUGAAUAAUGUUUUCAAUACCAUGGUUGGCUCUCCAUCUUAAAAAUGAGAUUAACAGACUGACUUUUAUGAAUUGAACUUAACUGCCUAUCCCUGGCCAAAAAAGAACAGGACUUAUACACAGUUGCAUAUGUUGGAUUUACAUAAUCUUUUGUGAAAUAUAAUACAGGCUGGGUUUGCUGGUAUUGGAGUUGGUGCUGCUUACUAUGGUCUAAGGCCUGUUGUGGAGUUUAUGACUUUUAACUUCUCCAUGCAGGUAGGAUUAUAUCUUUAUUGCAUAAUUUCUUUGUUAAAUUUAGUGUGGAGUUAAGUGUCACAUUUCUUACAGAGUCAGCACUUAGUUUAUGCAAGUUUGUGUGUAUUAAAGUUAUGUGAACCUGGCUGUAAGUGAAGAUGAUUAGAUAACAUUGUAUGAGUUUUCUCUUUAGUGAUAGGAAUAACUGACUUGAGUUUUUCAAUACAUGAUGAUUGAUUCCUCAAGGAUAAAUGUCGACUUGCCUGUAAGGCUGUGUUAAUAAUCAGGAUAUAGGUGUGCCUACCCAACUCAAAAAUGCUUUGCACAAGAGUAUAUAAGAUAAAUGAUAUAAUUAAUUUCUAUUAGACAUAUAAAUGCUCAAAAAAUAAAAAUUACUCUGUAAAAAGCAUUGUCAUCAUUCAUAAAUAGAAGUCAUGAUGAUAGUCCAAAAUAUUAUCAUCAUUUUCUUAGGCAUAACUUUUAAUAAUUAAUAAGUUAUUGGCAACAAAGGAUCUUAAGGACGAAAAGAGUAUCGUGCCAAACCUUGACAAAUUUGAGCCUCUGAUGUGUUGGAGGGAUGACAUCAUGUGGGUUCUGAAGUGCAAACUAGUCAACACAAAAAGGAGAGAACAUCAAAGCAAAAAUGAGUUGUCCAAGUGUGCACCGAGGUGACAGGAAUGGAUAAUACUCAACACCAGCAGUUUGCUGGAAAACAACAGCAAACAAUGGAUAAUAGCCAAUCUCAAACUAGAGGGGGCGGGGAUGUGAAAACAAUGCCUGCUAGUAAAUGGCAUACAAUUUGAGGAGUCACAUGACAAAUCACCAAUAGUGAUCAAGAUUUUACAUGCUCUGGGCUUGUGAUUGUUGCUUUAUGAAAACCUGAAGUGAUUCUCUGUGCAUUGCAGGGAUGACAUACUUAAUGUUUUUAAUAUUCUGUGUCUGACUACCCUGUUAAAGAUAUAAACCUAAGGAUUUGUUGUUGGGCAAAGCUGCCGAUCUCAGUAUACAAAAGAGGGAUUCAAUUUAUUGUUAACAGUGGCAAUCAUAUUUGACUUUAAAAAUAAAGCAAUUCUGUAGUGUUUUAAAUAAUAGUUUGAACAUCACAUCAAUGCCAUACAAAUCAAUUUAGUUUAUUAGAUGACAGGCUUUUUUGCUGCAAAUUGGUUACUUGACAAUACUCUGCGUGAAGUAGGGCCUUGUGUUUGCAAUCUUAAUGUUGGCCGCUGGUAGCUUGAAUAUUGAAUACUAAUAAAUUCAAGUGAAUAUUGUAUCAACAUGUGUAAUUAUGCUUAGUUUUUAGCUUCAUUUGUCUGGUAUCCAGCUGUGUCAUCUUUGGUUUGUUAGCUUGCUGAUUAAUUAUUUAACUUCUAUCCACUCAUUGAAUUUUAACUAUUGUUGCAGGCAAUAGACCAUAUUAUUAAUUCUGCCGCAAAAUCCAAUUACAUGUCUGCUGGGCAAAUAUCUGUACCUAUUGUUUUUAGAGGACCCAAUGGUGCUGCCGCUGGGGUUGGUGCCCAGCAUUCUCAAGUAUGGUUCUCAAAGCUGCUUUCUUUUAUGUACAAACUUUAUUUCACUAUUUCGUUAAAUUCUGCCUUGAAUUUACUCUGCUUUAGAGGUGUGGAGAACUGAUAAAUACUUCAGAUUUCAUCUAUGUAUCUACAACUUUGCUUUUAUGCAGUGUUAUGCAUCUUGGUAUGCUUCAUGCCCUGGGUUGAAAGUCCUGUCUCCGUAUUCAUCUGAAGAUGCACGUGGUUUGCUUAAAGCUGCUAUAAGGGACCCCGAUCCUGUUGUUUUUCUUGAAAAUGAGUUACUGUAAGUUUUGCUGCUUUAUUCUCACCCACACACAACCCCCUGCCCGAGAAAUAAGUUGCCAUAGUUUUAACACCAGUUAUUAUUAUUAUUAUUCCGAAAAAUAUUUAAUUUGUACACUAUGUCCCCUAGAUAUGGUGAGUCAUUCCCUGUUUCGGCUGAAGCUCUUGAUUCCAGUUUUUGCCUUCCCAUAGGAAAAGCAAAGGUAGUUAAUUAUCUGUAGUGUACGAAUCCUUGUUUCUAGAGCCAUAUUUAGUUAUUUACUACACAAUAAUGCAUUCUCACUGAAUCCAUGUUUGCUUCACGCAUUUUAUCACUAACAGAUUGAGAGGGAAGGAAAAGAUGUAACUAUUACAGCUUAUUCAAAAAUGGUUGGCUAUGCUCUCAAGGUUUGUUUACCGUGAGAUCCUUUUGUGGUGUAGAUAUGAAUAUUUUGCUGUUCUAAAAAGUUAAAAAUCUCUAACCCCUUCUGUACUACCAAAGUAGACAACAUUCUUAAAUAUCUCUUGGUGUUUUAGGCUGCUGAGACACUGGCUAAAGAAGGAAUCAGUGCCGAGGUAAGAUUUGCAAGAGUUAGUAAUGAACUUUCCCCUCUUUCUCCAAAACUUCAUUUGGGUUAUGAUAAUGGUUAAUGACGUUUAUCCACAUAGGUUAUUAAUUUGCGUUCAAUCCGACCAUUGGAUCGAUCAACAAUUAAUGCUUCUGUCAGGAAAACCAACAGGCUAGUGACAGUUGAAGAAGGGUUUCCUCAGCAUGGUGUUGGGGCUGAAAUCUGGUUUGUCUCUUUGCAUUGACUUUCUCUGUAUCUUUCUGGUUAAAUUUUGCCAAUUAUGUGAGUGUAUACUUCUCUUGAGCAGCACAUCUGUCAUUGAGGAGAGUUUUGGUUAUCUUGACGCACCUGUUGAGAGAAUUGCUGGGGCUGAUGUUCCUAUGCCAUACGCAGCUAACCUGGAGAGAU
rnacentral:lncRNA from 1 species